AACAGAAGAUGGUAUAGGCAUUAACCCAGGAAAUCCAGUAGGCGGAACAGCACCAGCAUGAAAUUGCUGUGGUGCGACAGAUGGUAUAAGAGGAAUUUGUUUGCCUUGAUCAGCUAGAUUUGCUAAACUUUGCUGGUCAGGCUUCCACUGAAAAGUACUCUGAUUUGCUGCCUGGUGCAUUAAUCCUGCAGCAGCAGAAGUAUCUGGCAUGAUUAAUUCCUUUGGAGGAACAGAAAAAUUUGCAGGGAUUCCACCUAUCAUCUCAUUUUCAAGUGCACGAAUAGUAUCCUGAUCAUAAACCUCCUUCGUACCCCAAAACUGUAGAAUUUUUUGAAGCCGAGAUUGAUUUUCUUCCUUGUUUUGAGGGUUGUGGUAUAUCCUCGCAAGCAUGGGACCCAAAAUAGGCUUAAAAGCAAGUGCCUCAUUGUCAAGCUCCGGAGGAUUAAUUCGUCGCUGCAAGCUAUCAAAUAAGAUGUCAUUGGCAAGAUAGACUAUAUGCAGUUGCCUCUCCGAAUCAUCUACGGAAAACACCCUGUCUCUGAGCGCCUCAGCCAAAGCAGGUACAAAUGGAGAUCUCUGCAUAAACCAACUCUUGGCACCUUUAAUUGACUCUUUCGUACCAGUAAGAUUAUUUAUGACAUUACUAAGCUCCAUCUCUACAUCUGAUGGAAGAGGCCUAGAUAGACCUUUGAAGGGCCCAUAUGAAUGUUCAUAAUCUGCUCGGCUAAAAGGCUGAGAAUGAUGCUGAUCAUAAAAUGGUGGGAAAGGGGGUCGAUGCAAA
rnacentral:misc_RNA from 1 species